rfam:Beta vulgaris subsp. vulgaris chromosome 8, whole genome shotgun sequence.
CCGACCUUAGCUCAGUUGGUAGAGCGGAGGACUGUAGUCGUGCCAGCAGGUAAUCCUUAGGUCGCUGGUUCGAAUCCGGCAGGUCGGA